rnacentral:rRNA from 1 species
UACCAGCUCUCCGAGUGGUGGGGAUGCUUAUUGGGCCUAAAGCAUUCGUAGCCUGCUUGACAAGUCCUCCGUUAAAUCCAACGAUUCAAUCGUUGGGCUGCGGGGGAUACUGUCCGGCCAGGGGGCGGGAGAGGCCGACGGUAUCCUCGGGGUAGGGGUGAAAUCCUAUAAUCCCGGGAGGACCACCAGUGGCGAAGGCUGUCGGCUAGAACGCGCUCGACGGUGAGGGAUGAAAGCUGGGGGAGCGAACCGGAUUAGAUACCCGGGUAGUCCCAGCUGUAAACGAUGCAGGCUAGGUGUUGGCGCGGCUACGUGCCGCUCCAGUGCCGCAGGGAAGCCGUUAAGCCUGCCGCCUGGGAAGUACGGCCGCAAGGCUUAAACUUAAAGGAAUUGGGCGGGGGAGCACCACAAGGUGUGAAGCUUGCGGUUU